GAAGUCGGAAUCCGCUAAGGAGUGUGUAACAACUCACCUGCCGAAUGAAUCAGCCCUGAAAAUGGAUGGCGCUUAAGCGGGCGACCGACACCAUGCCGUCUGUACAAGAUUGUAAAUACAGAUGAGUAGGAGGACGUGGCGGUUGUGUCGAAGCAUGCGUGCGAACGCGUGUGGAACGGCCGCUAGUGCAGAUCUUGGUGGUAGUAGCAAAUAUUCAAGCGAGAUCCUUGAAGGGCGAAGCGGGGAAGGGUUCCACGCAAACAUUGAUUGGGCGUGGGUGAGUCGUUCCUAAGCCGAGUGGCAAUUGCUAAGUAGCGGCGAAAGGGAAGCAGGUUGACAUUCCUGCACACGGAUGUGGAGGCGGUGACGCUUUAAUGAGGGCGAAGACGCUGGCGAUGGCGCUGGGCAGAGAUUUCUUUUCUGUUUAACCGCUGAAGCGCGCGGUGUGGAAUCCGCUUGUCGGGAGAAACACGCUCGUUCGGGCAGAGCGCCGGGGCUAUUCCGGCGUCCAGCUCGCCAUCGACGGCCCUUGAAAAUUUGCCUGCUGGAAUAGUAUUUUUUUUAUUCUAUGAAGAUCCACGCCGUGGCGUACCGAUAACCGCAUCAGGUCCCCAAGGUGAACAGCCUCUGCUCUAUAUGAAUAAUGCAGGUAAGGGAAGUCGGCAAAUUGGACCCGUAACUUUGGGAAAAGGGUUGGCUCUAGUGCUGCGUGGGAGUAGUUGUCGGGUGUGGGCGUUUUUGGACUUGCUGAGCGAGCGCGAGGGAGGCGCAUCUUUCGGGGUGUUUGUCCACUUUUGUGUUCAAUUGGCGAGACUGGAUCCGCCUCGCUCGACGACGCCCACAGCAUGCAGCAGACUAGAACUGCAACGGGCAAAGGGAAUCCGACUGUUUAAUUAAAACAAAGCAUUGCGAGGGCCGUGGCCGGUGAUGACGCAAUGUGA
rnacentral:rRNA from 1 species